UACGGGGGGUGCGAGCGUUGUCCGGAAUCACUGGGCGUAAAGGGCGCGUAGGUGGUCUGAUAAGGGUGUGGUGAAAGCCCGGGGCUCAACCCCGGGUCGGCCGUGCCGACUGUUAGACUAGAGUGCUGUAGGGGCAGGCGGAAUUCCGGGUGUAGCGGUGGAAUGCGUAGAGAUCCGGAGGAAGACCGGUGGCGAAGGCGCUGUCCUGGACGAAGAUUGACGCUGAGGUGCGAAAGCGUGGGGAGCAAACAGG
rnacentral:rRNA from 1 species